GGCUUAUCAAAGAAGGGUGAGUUGUUAUUUACAUGAGUGAUAUUUUGUUUAAGUUCCAAACAUACUGAACCGAAUCGAAAAGAAGGAAUCCUAAGUACGCGAACUGCCAAAGUUUGUUGCUUCACCUUAGAAGCAGUUUAACAUAGGCCGACGCAAAUUUAUUAGGAAAUGUGGAAAAAAAGAAGAAGAAGAAAAAAAAAAAAAAAAAAAAAAA